UGAACAACGCGAGUUAUUACAGUGCUACAAAUCGUUUUCCUAAAAUAAGCUGUUUCUAAAUGACUGAGCAAAGAAAGGUGGACAUGUGCAAAUUCGCUCUACUUGGAUUUACAACUCCUGGUUUUGACCCAGUGCCUUUAAUGAUGGGAGAGCGAGAUAUUAUACACGAGCGUAAAGAAGAACAGAUUAUAGAAGUCGACAAGGUUGAAAGUGCUAACAGUUUACAAGCACCGAAAUUCAUCCAAGCAACGUUGUCAUGGAUACGUAAUGCGCACAAACCGGAACAAUGAUAUCUGUAACUGCGUGACGUCAUCGUAGACUCAGAGACUUUGAUAUAAAGUAACACGUGACAUUAUGGUGACGUCAUGCAGAAAUUAAAUAUUAACAUACUUCAGCACUAUGGCAUUCGAAUAAAAUGAUUGCGUAACUACAUCUAUAGCAAUCUAACUACGGUGGGAGUACAGUCGCUGCGAUCGUCGCCUGCCAAGGCCCGUUUAUCCGUCCCACCACUUCAUCCGGAGGAGAAGAUGUGCGAUUAAGAAGAUGAAAAACAGAGAGAUUUAAUGAGUGCAUUGCAUGUUACGCUUGAACGAAAUGGCAAAUGGUGUCUUCAACAUCGGUCAAAUAAAUGCAUAUGAAAUGUAAUGGAUUUUUUAAAACCAUUGCACCAGUUUUACCUCGUGAUUUACAUUGAAAAUUAAUUUAAUGAAAGAUUUAAAAUCUUAGCAUUUACCUUUGUCAUUUACAUACGUGAACUGCUUGAAUUUUGGGGUAUUAUUUUUGUAUUGACUAUUAAAGGGCUCUUCUUUUUAUAGUAUUUAUUUGUUCCUGUAUUUAUUUAAUUAUUUUAACUGUCUGUAUCUUGUUAAAAAUAUAUAUAAAUUUAUUUCAAACUGAA